rnacentral:rRNA from 1 species
GACGAACGCUGGCGGCGUGCUUAACACAUGCAAGUCGAACGGCAAGGCCCUGCUUUUGUGGGGUGCUCGAGUGGCGAACGGGUGAGUAACACGUGAGUAACCUGCCCUUGACUUUGGGGUAACUUCAGGAAACUGGGGCUAAUACCGGAUAGGAGCUCCUGCUGCAUGGUGGGGGUUGGAAAGUUUCGGCGGUUGGGGAUGGACUCGCGGCUUAUCAGCUUGUUGGUGGGGUAGUGGCUUACCAAGGCUUUGACGGGUAGCCGGCCUGAGAGGGUGACCGGCCACAUUGCGACUGAGAUACGGCCCAGACUCCUACGGGAGGCAGCAGUGGGGAAUAUUGCACAAUGGGCGGAAGCCUGAUGCAGCAACGCCGCGUGCGGGAUGACGGCCUUCGGGUUGUAAACCGCUUUCGCCUGUGACGAAGCGUGAGUGACGGUAAUGGGUAAAGAAGCACCGGCUAACUACGUG